rnacentral:rRNA from 1 species
GGCGCACGGGUGAGUAACGCGUAGGUAAUCUACCCUUGUACCUGGGAUAACAUUGGGAAACUGGUGCUAAUACCGGAUACACUUUUUUAACGCGGGUUAAAGGAGGAAAGGUGGCCUCUUCAUGAAAGCUACCGUACGGGGAUGAGCCUGCGUACCAUUAGCUAGUAGGCGGGGUAACGGCCCACCUAGGCGACGAUGGUUAGCGGGUCUGAGAGGAUGAUCCGCCACACUGGAACUGGAGCACGGACCAGACUCCUACGGGAGGCAGCAGUGAGGAAUAUUGCGCAAUGGGGGCAACCCUGACGCAGCGACGCCGCGUGAGUGAGAAAGGUCUUCGGAUCGUAAAGCUCCGUCAGAAGGGAAGAAGUGUUAUAUGGUUAAUACCCAUAUAAUUUGACGGUACCUUCAGAGGAAGCACCGGCUAACUCCGUGCCAGCAGCCGCGGUAAUACGGAGGGUGCAAGCGUUGUUCGGAAUUACUGGGCGUAAAGGGCGCGUA